AGGAAGGAAGGAAGAAGACGACAGGGGAAAAAGUAAGUCCCAAGGACUGCAAAAAAAUCACAAUAAAGUCAAUGUCUCUGAAAAAGGAAGCAAAACCAAUCUCAAGAUGCAGUGCAAAAGAGAUGUAGUGAAAUUUGGAUGCCCAGCCAGAAAUACACUGGGAGCCAGUCCACCUCCUUUUCUUUGGGCUGCAGCUAUGUCUUGAAAUUAGGGUUUCAGAUUUUGACCCAUUCCUACAAGAAUAAACAGGACUUCUCUUUCCUCUGGUGUUCCCAUUUUAUGAUCUGAGCAUUCCCACAGCAGUGAGGAAUCUUGCUAAUCUCUAAGCAUUUGCCUGUUGUCCUGCAGAUUCCUAUCCCACCUCCAAGUGAUGAACCAGACAUCAGAAAGCUGGCUGGCUUGGAGGAUUCUUAGUAACAAUUAAACCAAUCACUACUGACACAAUUUCUGAUCAAGAUACUGUGAGUUUGGACAGAAUAGAUAAAUCUGAGAAGAGAGAAGAGAAACGAUAUGUUUUAUGGCUGUCCUUGUGCAUGCUGAAAUAUCACAAGAGGUAAUUCACCAGCACGGUUUAUCUAAUCCAACAUGGAAUGAUAACCAUUUAAAUAAGUUUUAUUAUAGGGGUCAUAUUGAUGGGGCUUUGCCAACAAGCUCAGCAGGCUUUGCAAGGUCUGUGCUGAAAAGCCCCACAUACUUGCCCCUAGGCAAGUAUUACUAAUAUUCCCAAACACCUGUAGGUUCUAUUUCAUGUCUGCAAGCCUCACCAAUGUUUUAAAGUCACUCAAGUCCAAAGAAAGAGAGAAAUUAUUGCAAGCAUGUUCUCCUUCCCAUCAGAGAUAUAAUUUCCAAAGCAGCAGUAGGGAUUCGGGAUUUGCUGUACUUCUGUCCCUUGAGUUCCACUCAGUCUCACAAAGAGCUUUACAGAUAUUAUGGCUGAGCUGUGGCAAUGUGCAAAGCCCUUACCAGCCCACGGUGCUUUUGGAAUUGCCUCCAGGCUUACAUGAGGAGAGAUUUAUGGCCACAGGGCCUGGCACUCACUGAGGUCAUUUAAAAAAAGAAGGAAAGAAGUCAGACUGGGACUGACAGCUGCACCUGCUCUCCCUGCUGCUUCUCUGUGCCAUGUCUUUAGCCAGG
rnacentral:lncRNA from 1 species